GCCCAACCCCAAACAGACUCGCUCUCUGGCGUCGGCUCGGCACCUAGCGCCUCGCUCUCCGCCCCAUCCAUGUCGUCCGGUGAGCUGCCGCUGCCUUCUCGCGUCUCCGCCCGGCUGCCGGUCUCCGCCCUGCGCCUCCGCUCGCGCUCCACCCGCGCUUCCGCUCUCCGCUCUCCGUCCGGAAGCCGGGCGCUGCUGCUCGCCUCUGCUUCCGCUCCAUUCACGCCAGGCUGCCGAACGCCGUCCCGCGCCUCCGCUCCCACCCCGCCGCCGGGCGCCGUCCAGCGCGUCCGCUCCGGUCCCAUCCGCAGCCCGGACGCCAGGAGCCGUCCCACGCCUUCCCUCGCCCGUCCUCGCCCUCCGUCGCUCGCUGGACGCCGCCGCCGAUGGACCAUGCCGCCGCCGCCGCCCUCCGCACUCGUGUCGUCGCGCUCCUCCUCUCUUCCCUAUAACUGCGGGAUCUCCGGGCUGGUUCCCUUCCCCGCCGGGGUUCCAAUCGCCGCCACCGAAUGCCCCCCACGCGCGUGGCAUAGCCUUGCUGCGACCGCCCGCAAGAACCUCUGGUGGUUGGGGGUGGCCCGACGCUUCGAUUUUGCUUCGAUUUUUGCGGGGGAGACGGUUUCGAUUGAGAGGACCCUCGCUUCCCCCUUUCCUCCGACGAUUGGCUUCGUUUGGUGACUCGGGGGGAUGGGGCUGCAGCAGUCCUAGGAGGUGCUGUUGUACCAGCAGGUCAACUACGGCAACGUCGACGGGAUUGGCUCUCAAGUGGAUUGACAAGGAAGGCAAGACACCCCUGAUGGUCGCCUGCAUGAGGCCUGACCUACUCAACGUGGCCAGGUGCUCAUCGAGUUCAGAGCCAAUGUGAAUGCCUACCGCCCUGGGUCACAUUGUGGGACUGCAUCGCACCAUGCUGCCAAGAAAGGCUCAACGAGACUGUCCAUUUACUCCUCUCACAUGGAGAUAGCUUAUGGGGGAAGUAUGCUAUAGACAUUCGGUUUCUGCAAGAGAUAAGGAUAUAGACUUACAUGAUGUGCUCAUCUCUUGACACCCAAUGCUGAAAGAAAGGCAAGUAAUACAAAUCUCUUUUACAAAAGUUAUGAACAAUUCGCAGUUAGCCCUAUAGAUAUUGCUGAAGACAUAAUCUUAUUAUGAUAUUCUUUUACUGAGAAAUAUGCAAUGUGGUGCCCUUAAUUUCAUUUUUCUGGAGAAAUGAUUUCCUCUUCAUGUUAUCUACUAGCUUAUAUGGGUCCUUAACUUGCAAUCAAAUAUUGUGCUGAUAACCUUUGUGUUCUGACAGUAUCAUGGUUCUUAGUUGUUACUCUAACCUUAUCAUGAUGCCAUCUUUUCAGAGAACAGAUAAGUAUUUAGGCAGUAUUGAAACCUGAAACAAAGUGGAUAAAUAACUUAAUGAAGCCCUGAAUGAGUUUGGAAUGCCAUGGCACAUACGUUUGCACACUAAGAAUAACCAUUUUCUCUUAAUAUUUCCAUGCGUUGCAUUGGUACACAAAGCGCUAAAAAUCCUACCAAGUAUAACCUUGGGCAUGUAGGACAGUGAUUAAUGGGGCUCAUGGAUUCUAGGUGGUCCUAUCCUUUGGGAAGGAAUGGACACCGAAAUGCCAUCAUAUCUCACUUAAAAAAUGCUCGGCCAACUCUAUGGCUGUUAAUACAGCAAUAAAUACUCCUGCUGAUCUCUGGUGAUGGAAUUGAGAUUAGAGUAUAAUGUCUAAUGAAAUUAGAGUAUAAUUCCUAAUCUUGGGACUGAAGCAUUGAGAUGCAAGAAUUAUCGAUAUGAUACUUCCUAAUUGUAGUCCUGAUGAAACACUCCCACUGGCUAAAAUUAGUAGCUGGAUACUCAAUCACUUAGCACAUAAAUGAUUGGUGGGUGGUCAUAGAAAGUAAAUACGUGAAAGAAAGGAAAAUUGUUCUUUUUGUGGUUAGAUUUGUAGACACGUGAACGAUGAUUCAAUGCGAAUCACGCACAUAUCAAAAUUUUCUUUGAUCCUGCAGAUGAACUCAUCAACUGCACUAGGAUUUCUCUCUUUUCUGCUACUGGGCUGGACUUCCUUACAAUGAAAUUACCGAUCGAUCAGAUAUUCUGAUUAAAUUAACUGCUUGUUUGAUUAAAAAUUAGCCUGGCCAAAGUAGUGAUCUCUUAUAGAAAUAUGUGGUCAUUUUUAUUCCUUCCGGAUGUAGCUCAGCAAGUCUCAGUCUGUACCAUCUUAAAGGUGAACGCCAUUCCAGAAAGAAAUAUUCUCUGCUCAAGUUGUAUUCAAACAAAUCACUAGCCUGAACAUUGUAUGUAAUAUCAAUCUGGAACCCUAUCUCAUGCAAAUGUAUUCUUUUCUGGCUAUCUGAUGAGCCAUGUACAAGUUUCAGUUUGUACAAUGUAUAUUCUCUGCGCGCUCAGUGAAAAAGCGACAAAUUGUGGUGUA